rnacentral:rRNA from 1 species
CGGCCGCGAAUUCACUAGUGAUUACUCCUACGGGAGGCAGCAGUGGGGAAUAUUGGACAAUGGGCGCAAGCCUGAUCCAGCCAUGCCGCGUGGGUGAAGAAGGCCUUCGGGUUGUAAAGCCCUUUUGUUGGGAAAGAAAAGCAGUCGGUUAAUACCCGAUUGUUCUGACGGUACCCAAAGAAUAAGCACCGGCUAACUUCGUGCCAGCAGCCGCGGUAAUACGAAGGGUGCAAGCGUUACUCGGAAUUACUGGGCGUAAAGCGUGCGUAGGUGGUUUGUUAAGUCUGAUGUGAAAGCCCUGGGCUCAACCUGGGAAUUGCAUUGGAUACUGGCAGGCUAGAGUGCGGUAGAGGGUAGUGGAAUUCCCGGUGUAGCAGUGAAAUGCGUAGAGAUCGGGAGGAACAUCCGUGGCGAAGGCGACUACCUGGACCAGCACUGACACUGAGGCACGAAAGCGUGGGGAGCAAACAGGAUUAGAUACCCUGGUAGUCCACGCCCUAAACGAUGCGAACUGGAUGUUGGGUUCAAUUAGGAACUCAGUAUCGAAGCUAACGCGUUAAGUUCGCCGCCUGGGGAGUACGGUCGCAAGACUGAAACUCAAAGGAAUUGACGGGGGCCCGCACAAGCGGUGGAGCAUGUGGA